rnacentral:rRNA from 1 species
AUGACGCCAGCCCCAAGAAACCCCUUCUCGUCGGGCUUCCCGCACGCCGACGCCCACGCCGCCCAAUCGACGCCAGUCCCGACGUCUCCUGAUGGCAUCUUCCAGAGAUAUCUCUUGCCGCUGAAGAAGAGGGCGACGACUGCGAGCGACGGCAGCAGCGCCGACGAUUCAUUCGUGGUCCCGCUGAAGAAGAGACGGGUGGUGGACACCGGGGGCGAGGGCACCUGCACCAGCGCGAUCCCGGUUCAGAGCCGGCCGAGGCGAACGGCGGCCUGCAACGUUGCGUACGUGAGCAUGGAGGAAGAAGAAGCCGGGACGUCAGCGGCCGGGGCGGCGGGAUCGAAGAAGAACAGGAACAGGAACAGGAAUAGCAGUAGAAAGAACGGACCGCGGCCGGCGCGUGACGCCGCCCCGCUGGUCAACAGGCCGCUGCACCUCAGCGAGGCGCAGCGGCAGCACCUCGAGACGCUCGGCGCCACGGCCCCGCAGUUCGUCAUCAUGAAGAGCCUCCAGAUGAGCGACGUGGACCGCAACCAGAACCGGCUCCUCUUCUCGUGCAAGCGCGAGUUCCUCGAGGGCCACCCCAUCACCGGCAUCUUAGCCGAGAAGGAGACGCGCCACGUGCACCAUCACCGCGGGCUGAGCGUGGUUGUCCAAGACGACCACAGCAACCAGUUCAAUUUCACGCUCAAGUACCUCGACUCCAACGGCGGGUACCGCUUCAUUGGCACCGGCUGGAACGACUUCGUGUCCAAGAACAAGCUGGUGAAGGACGAUCUCCAUUUUGUCGUCGAGGUGUGGGCGUUCCGGUCGCCGGAGCUGCCCGCGCAGCCCAAGGUUCCCGGCAUCGAGGGGCUGCAGGGCCACCCUGACGGCGCCCUCGGGUUUCUCCUCCGAUUACAUCACGACGAGAGCAGGGACGUCCACCGCGGCGAGGAAGAAAGGGAGUUUGCGCCGCGGCCGGUUCAGAAGAAGAAGAGACAGGCGCCGGCCAAGGCGGUGCGAUCAAAGAAGCUUGCGGGUGGGCAUGUGAGUCAGGGCCAAGCCGUGGCGAGGGACGUGACGAGGGCUGAGAUAGUUGAGGCGGUUGGGGAGGAAAUGGCGGAUGCGUUGUUCGGGCUGUUGAUGCUAAGGUCCAGUGGGCCCGUUCCGAUGCUUCCCUUUGAAAAAACAUCGACUGCUCAGAUUUGCUAG